AAGUGCUCAGACCUCAGUAUAAGUUGCUUAUAAAAUCUCUUCUAUUUUUUAACAUGUAGUUUCUUUUGCCAUUUCCUUUCUAUCCACAAUUACUUGACUUGAUUAGCUUGGCUAGGACUAAAAAGCAUGCUAUCACUUGCAUGUGAGACACUAAACACACUGGAUUAGCACACUCUUUCCUUCAACACCCAUUCCAAAAAGUUAUUUGACACACAGGUUCACAUCAAAACAAAUUACAACUCUACGCAUUGUCAGAGAAAUUCUGUUAUUAGUGUAGUCUUAGUUUGUGAUAUGUACAUUCAGUGAACAGAAGAUGAAAUGUGAAACAUUUGUGCAAUGAUUAAGCAUUACAAUGUUGGAAUCAAUGUAUUAUUUAUAUGUAACUGUUUAGUGCAUAUUUGUUCAUUAAAACAAAUUUAAGUUACUCAUCUUGUGGUACCAUAACUUUGUACACAUCUGUCGGUCACAUCUCUGGAAAUCACUGGCCAUAGAUAGAACAAUAGUACAACAAUCAGUCCAAUAUGGGCCCACUUUAGCUCAAAACACUUCAUCAACACUAGCUCAAUGGCAACUCUAACAAAACUGCCUAAAUGACAACUCAAACAUAAGCAAAGUAUAAUGUAUACUCUAAGGACAUAUAUGUCACUAUGAUUACCAAACAUUAAAAUAGCAAUUUAUUAAGAUAAAUGACACAUUUGAAAUGGUGUAACAUCUCUGAAAGCUGUUUAUAGUACCCCGGUACAAGCAGACAUCCUGUGCAGCAAAAAAAUGGUACCUAAAUAUCUAUGAAUGUAUUAGUACAUGACAUUUAUCUAUCUUUGUUUCAACUAAUCUUGAAAAUAUAAAAAACAUGUCCUUUUAGGAUUUUCUUCAGGUUCAGUCUUAUACUCUUCAUAAACUAGUCAAGGAGUUAGUCAAGUUUGCCUCUAGUCAUGUCUAUGAAUGCUUACUGUGUAGUCAGAAAGGAUUUGUUUGUGAAAUCUGUCGUAAUCCUAAAGUCAUUUAUCCAUUUGAAGUGGAUACAACUAUAAGGUGCAAAGGAUGUAAAGCUGUUUAUCACAAGACUUGCAUGACUGACAGUUUGCCUUGUCCCAAAUGUGAAAGAUGGGGAAGAAGGCAAAGCAAGAGUAGUAGCAUAGAGAACCACCCUGAGGACUAUGGGAUGUCACCAACCUAAUCAACAUAUGAUGCCCACAUUGCUGUUUAUUUUUUAAAUUUUUAUGUCAAU
rnacentral:sRNA from 1 species